rnacentral:lncRNA from 1 species
GCUUAAGUGAAUUGAUACAAUCCAAGACAUUCCACAUUGUUACAAGAGCCCCAACACAUGUUAUAACUCAUGUACUGGCUAUUAUGAUGAUGGGGUGGAAAAGCUUGUCGAUGUCAGAGUAAGGGAGGUUCCCCCUCCCCAAGGAAGAUGCUAAGGAUCUAGCCUAGCAAAAAAGACAUACAAAGUAGCCACCCUGUUAUGUGAAACAAAGUUCAUCAUUGUUUUGAUUUAAAUACACUAAAACAGGUGUCCUGGCUCUGGAAGCCAGACUGCCAUGGGUUAGAGAGUGAAGGGGAAACAAACAAGGAGAACUUUGUUGGAAACUUUUUAAGAAAGGAAGUAUACUGGGGCCGGGGAUAUAGCCCAGUGGCACAAGCGCUUGCCUGGCAAGCGCAAGGUCCUGAGUUCGAUUCCCAGUACAAAAAAAAAAAAAAAAAACAAAAAUAACCAGAUGGUUGUAGAUGGUUCCAUAUAUACAAAAAUAUGUAAACCCAGGGGCGCUCUACCACUGAGUUGUACCCCCAGCCCUUUUUUAAACUUUGUAUUCUGAGAUAAGGUCUCAAUUGUGUAGGUGGGAUUUGAACCUUGCAAUCCUUUGGCCUCAGCCUCCCACUGUUGUUUUGUGUAUUUCGUUGUCGUUUUGUCUUUUUUUUUUUUUGAGACAGGGUCUCACUAUGCAGUUCAAACUGGCCUUGAGCUCACUAUGUAGCCCAGGCUGGUCUUGAACUCACAACGAUCCUCCUGCCUCAGCCUCCCGAGUGCUGGGAUUACAGGCG